rnacentral:rRNA from 1 species
AGAAGUGCGAAUGCUGACAUAAGUAACGAUAAUGCGGGUGAAAAACCCGCACGCCGGAAGACCAAGGGUUCCUGUCCAACGUUAAUCGGGGCAGGGUGAGUCGACCCCUAAGGCGAGGCCGAAAGGCGUAGUCGAUGGGAAACAGGUUAAUAUUCCUGUACUUGGUGUUACUGCGAAGGGGGGACGGAGAAGGCUAUGUUAGCCGGGCGACGGUUGUCCCGGUUUAAGCAUGUAGGCGGAGGUUCCAGGUAAAUCCGGUACCUUUUUAACGCUGAGGUGUGAUGACGAGGCACUACGGUGCUGAAGUAACAAAUGCCCUGCUUCCAGGAAAAGCCUCUAAGCAUCAGGUAACACGAAAUCGUACCCCAAACCGACACAGGUGGUCAGGUAGAGAAUACCAAGGCGCUUGAGAGAACUCGGGUGAAGGAACUAGGCAAAAUGGUGCCGUAACUUCGGGAGAAGGCACGCUGAUAUGUAGGUGAAGUGAUUUACUCAUGGAGCUGAAAUCAGUCGAAGAUACCAGCUGGCUGCAACUGUUUAUUAAAAACACAGCACUGUGCAAACACGAAAGUGGACGUAUACGGUGUGACGCCUGCCCGGUGCCGGAAGGUUAAUUGAUGGGGUUAUCCGUAAGGAGAAGCUCUUGAUCGAAGCCCCGGUAAACGGCGGCCGUAACUAUAACGGUCCUAAGGUAGCGAAAUUCCUUGUCGGGUAAGUUCCGACCUGCACGAAUGGCGUAAUGAUGGCCAGGCUGUCUCCACCCGAGACUCAGUGAAAUUGAACUCGCUGUGAAGAUGCAGUGUACCCGCGGCAAGACGGAAAGACCCCGUGAACCUUUACUAUAGCUUGACACUGAACACUGGUCCUUGAUGUGUAGGAUAGGUGGGAGGCUUUGAAGUGUGGACGCCAGUCUGCAUGGAGCCAUCCUUGAAAUACCACCCUUUAAUGGCUGGUGUUCUAACGUGGACCCGUUACCCGGGUUGCGGACAGUGUCUGGUGGGUAGUUUGACUGGGGCGGUCUCCUCCUAAAGAGUAACGGAGGAGCACGAAGGUUAGCUAAUCCUGGUCGGACAUCAGGAGGUUAGUGCAAAGGCAUAAGCUAGCUUGACUGCGAGAGUGACGGCUCGAGCAGGUGCGAAAGCAGGUCUUAGUGAUCCGGUGGUUCUGAAUGGAAGGGCCAUCGCUCAACGGAUAAAAGGUACUCCGGGGAUAACAGGCUGAUACCGCCCAAGAGUUCAUAUCGACGGCGGUGUUUGGCACCUCGAUGUCGGCUCAUCACAUCCUGGGGCUGAAGUAGGUCCCAAGGGUAUGGCUGUUCGCCAUUUAAAGUGGUACGCGAGCUGGGUUUAGAACGUCGUGAGACAGUUCGGUCCCUAUCUGCCGUGGGCGCUGGAGAAUUGAGGGGGGCUGCUCCUAGUACGAGAGGACCGGAGUGGACGCAUCACUGGUGUUCGGGUUGUCAUGCCAAUGGCAUUGCCCGGUAGCUAAAUGCGGAAGAGAUAAGUGCUGAAAGCAUCUAAGCACGAAACUUGCCCCG